GUGUCUGUAGCCUAGUGGUAAAAGGCGGCACUGUAGAUGCUGAGGUGAUGGGUUUGAAUCCCACCAGACACA
rnacentral:tRNA from 1 species